UUCUGUCAAUUCUGCAAAGCGAAUCUACCACAAUUAUACCCAACUAACUUUAUGAUGCACAAAAAAGUUAUUUUGAUCCAAUUACUAAAUCUUACAACUUCGCAGCAACUGAAUCAUCAUCCUACUCAAAUGCCAAAUCCCUUUUCGAAAAUGAAAAAAAGGAGUAAUUUUUUCUGCUGUAUGGUUCGAGGUGGCUUGAAGACCAAAAUUUCUGGGUUUUUAUAAUCUAAUUAGUUCACCAGAUUAUGAGAAUUAAACAUUGAAGAUUUGGGUUUUUUUUUUUCCUUUCGAGUCAUCACACUGACGAUACAGUGAAAACAUCAGUUCUUGUAGGUCGUAAGAAGUAAAAACCUUGGGCUAACAAUGGUAUUUUUCUGGGUCCUAAUAAUUUCAAGUUUACUGGCAAGUUUGCAGCAUGUUAGCUGUUUUCACUGAAGAUGAAUCAGACACGAAUAUCCAACAUUAAAAGCACAUCGUCAGAUACAUCAUCAUACUACAUGGCUCAACUGGUGAUGCUUGUCUUCUCUCUACUUCAUUUGGAUUAUUCUCUCGUGGGUUGUUUCUCAGAUUCCUUUUUCUCUUUUAUUUUUUUCUUAUAAUUUCUAUCACGUAAUGUGUCUACUUCCUGUUUGUCAUAUUGUUUUUGUUUCUAAUGGCAGUACUGUUAUGAUAAGCUUUCCUCUCUUUUUUUUAUAUUAUUAGUUCAAUUGAUGGUGAUUGUUUGGAGGGUACUGAAAUCAUAUUUGUGAUUGUGAUUGUGAUUUUAUUGUAGGAAGAAAGGUUAGCCCCCCGGGAAUUGCAGCCCCUGAAUGUGAGACUUGGGCGACUAUGAUCACUCAGGGUCAAUAUCAUCCAAUACUAUACUCACUGCCUCUUCAUCUUUGAGAUUGUGGGAAAUGGCUUAAUGAACAUUGAAUGGUGCCAUAUUAAAACAGUUCUUUGUUUUUGUUGGCUAAUUAGUCUUUAAAUGCAGCAUUUGAAUCCCCCGUUUCUGCUACACCGUAAGAGUACAAUGGUUUUUGGUUGCUUGCUAUAGUAAGUUAAACCCAUGUUGAGUAAGGUCUUGAAUUUGAGUCUUUCUGGAUAUAAAAAACGACAUUGGACCCGAUGUGACUACCGGAUAUACGAGUAUCUCGGACAGAAAAAAAAAACAGUUAAAAGUAAAGACUUUUUACAGCUUCAGUUUGUGGGGAUUGAGGAAUUGUUAUGUUGAGCCUGCUUGGGUGCUUUUCCCAUCGUGGUUUGUAAUAAUAAUGGAGGGUGGAGUGAGGUGGUUGGUGUUUUCUUGCUUCACAUUGAGGUCUUCAACUGUUAAGAAAACACCAGCAGCACUCAAUAAUUGCAGCAAAAAACAAUUGGUGCCUGCAUGGCUUUUUGUGCAUGUCCUGCUAGUGUCAGAAACACACUGACCAUUACUGCUCAUGGAUCAGAUGUCAUAUGGAGGACAUAUUUGAUUGAAAAUGUCAUAGAUUCCAUUUUUGAAUGACAUUUAGCUAGUGGUUUCACUAGAUAUUAUUAUCUUAAUUUUCUGAAAAAAGGGUGCCCUUAGAGCAUAGAACUAAUAUUCAUGUGUUAUUGUCUAAACUUGAUGUCAUACAUACCAUCUAUGUGAACAAAAUGGUACAAAUAGUUGCAUGAAUGUUGUGACAAUAGCAUUACACUUGGAAGCCCUCGGAACUGUCUAAAAGAACUACGACGACAAGAGGUCAAAAAGUUUGGUCCUUUCCGUUAUGCUCAAGGGAUAAUGUUGAUGCAGAGUGAUAACACGAUCGGUGUUCCGUUGCUCGGUCAUUUCCUUGUGGUGGGAGGAGGAGCUGCGAGCAGGAGCCACACAGUCCUAAUGGAACCUAUGGACCUUAUGAACUUGCGUCAUUUGUCCUCGAACUAGUAGGUUUCUUGGUGCAGAUGUUGAAAAUCGAAACUAAGAAUGGUGGAUUAGAUAAUGAUGAUAAACAGAUAUGAAGUUCCAGGGCUGAUUUGAUGCCAGUGUGGACAACCCUCCUAAAGUCCAAAGCACGCCCUUACAUCUUGAAUCCUAGCAUUGAGUUGUUUUGAUAAUGGGUGGUUUAAGCAACCCUCUCUGCUUGUACCAAACUAUCAAUCCAUACAAAGGUUCAGUCACUUUGAUUUCUGCA